rnacentral:lncRNA from 1 species
UCUUCAGAAGAAUUACUGACGCAUCGACCUUGCAAGGCCUGCCGUCGAUGCCCCCACGGCGCCAGACAUCGCCUCCUCCCUACGCGCGCUCAUCAUCACGCAUCCGUCGUCGAGACUUUGCUGCGCCUCGCCGCCGAGACUCCACGACGUCGAUGUGUCACAAGGAACGCCACUCCAUCGUUGAUGCCGACCAAUGAUCCCUCGAGCCCGUGUGUACCUCCAUGAAUGACGCC